UGGUAUGUUCCAGGAACUGAGAUGAAGCCAAUAUGACCACAGCCCAGUGAUGGAGAGGACAGGCCCAGACUGGGGGUCUUGCAGCCAUCCUUGAAGCUAAGCAUUGCCCCAGUCUGCACCCGUGGAAUGGAGAUUUGACCGCAAGGGGCAGAGCUAUGAGACAGAAUCCUUCAACAAAGGCUGAAGAGACAAAAAUGUUGGAGGAGGGAACGUGGGAGUGAGGGGCACAGAUGACUCAGAC